rnacentral:rRNA from 1 species
GACGAACGCUGGCGGCGUGCUUAACACAUGCAAGUCGAACGGUGAAGCGCUUUCCUUUUUGGUUGGUGUGGAUGAGUGGCGAACGGGUGAGUAACACGUGAGUAACCUGCCCCCUUCUUCUGGAUAACCGCAUGAAAGUGUGGCUAAUACGGGAUAUUCUGCGCCUGCUGCAUGGUGGGUGUGGGAAAGAUUGUGCCUUUGGGUGUUUUCGGUGGGGGAUGGGCUCGCGGCCUAUCAGCUUGUUGGUGGGGUGAUGGCCUACCAAGGCGGUGACGGGUAGCCGGCCUGAGAGGGUGGACGGUCACACUGGGACUGAGACACGGCCCAGACUCCUACGGGAGGCAGCAGUGGGGAAUAUUGCACAAUGGGCGAAAGCCUGAUGCAGCGACGCCGCGUGAGGGAGGGAGGCCUUCGGGUUGUGAACCUCUUUCGCCAGUGAAGCAGGCCUGCUCCUUGUGGGUGGGUUGACGGUAGCUGGAUAAGAAGCGCCGGCUAACUACGUG